rnacentral:rRNA from 1 species
CACGGGGGGACCGAGCGUUGUCCGGAAUCAUUGGGCGUAAAGAGCGUGUAGGCGGCCAACUAAGUCCUGCGUGAAAUCUCGGGGCUCAACCCCGAGCGGUCGUGGGAAACUGGUUGGCUAGAGUGCGGGAGAGGAGAGUGGAAUUCCUGGUGUAGCGGUGAAAUGCGCAGAUAUCUGGAGGAACACCGGUGGCGAAGGCGGCAUCCUGGACCGACACUGACGCUGAUGCGCGAAAGCUAGGGGAGCAAACGGG